UCACUUUUUCAGAAUGUCCUGCUUCUUCUGCUCAUCAGAUGUGGGAAGCCCCAUUGAUUUCUGCCGUUGGUCAUACAUCAUUUUCUCCACCAUGCUCCGUGUUUCACUGUCCAGGUCUGAUAACUUGGAAAUUGAGGGAGAGUGUUAGAAAAGACCUGGCCUGACUCUGAUGAGGAACACCAGCAAAUUUAGCAACUGAAUGCAGUAUCACUACAGCAGAGCGAUGCCAGGGGAAAUCAGCAUGCAGAGGUAGCAUCUCUCCAAAGGACAAGUGACGUCAGAUACCUUCUCAGCGGCACCCUCUUCUCCUCCUACAAAGAAAUCAGUUUUGCGCCUCAAGAAGCUGAAGAAGGUGUCCACAAGCUGUAAGGAAAGUAGACAAAAUGUUUAGAACAAGCACUUAUUCCAAAUUAUACAAUGAGGAAUGCAUUCUAAAAAUGCAAUAUCACUUAGAAAUGACUUGUUUUGUACCAGAGCCCCUGGGGUGGCUUCUCUUUAUAGCAGAUCUUGCCCUCCACAAAGAGGGUCAGAGGUAG